GGCAUAACCUCGGGAAACUGGGGAUAAUACCGGAUAACGCAUAUAUGCUGGAAUUCUUUAUGCGUGAAACGGAUUCGUCUGCCCAAGGAUGGGUCUGCGGCCUAUCAGGUAGUAGUGGGUGUAAUGUACCUACUAGCCGACGACGGGUACGGGUUGUGAGAGCAAGAGCCCGGAGAUGGAUUCUGAGACAUGAAUCCAGGCCCUACGGGGCGCAGCAGGCGCGAAAACUUUACAAUGCGGGAAACCGUGAUAAGGGGACACCGAGUGCCAGCAUCAUAUGCUGGCUGUCCGGGUGUGUAAAAUACACCUGUUAGCAAGGGCCGGGCAAGACCGGUGCCAGCCGCCGCGGUAACACCGGCGGCCCGAGUGGUGAUCGUGAUUAUUGGGUCUAAAGGGUCCGUAGCCGGUUUGGUCAGUCCUCCGGGAAAUCUGACGGCUUAACCGUUAGGCUUUCGGGGGAUACUGCCAGACUUGGAACCGGGAGAGGUAAGAGGUACUACAGGGGUAGGAGUGAAAUCUUGUAAUCCCUGUGGGACCACCUGUGGCGAAGGCGUCUUACCAGAACGGGUUCGACGGUGAGGGACGAAAGCUGGGGGCACGAACCGGAUUAGAUACCCGGGUAGUCCCAGCCGUAAACGAUGCUCGCUAGGUGUCAGGCAUGGCGCGACCGUGUCUGGUGCCGCAGGGAAGCCGUGAAGCGAGCCACCUGGGAAGUACGGCCGCAAGGCUGAAACUUAAAGGAAUUGGCGGGGGAGCACAACAACGGGUGGAGCCUGCGGUUUAAUUUGACUCAACGCCGGACAACUCACCGGGGGCGACAGCAAUAUGUAGGUCAGGCUGAAGACCUUGCCUGAAUCGCUGAGAGGAGGUGCAUGGCCGUCGCCAGUUCGUACUGUGAAGCAUCCUGUUAAGUCAGGCAACGAGCGAGACCCGUGCCCACUGUUACCAGCAUGUCCUCCGGGACGAUGGGUACUCUGUGGGGACCGCCGGUGUUAAAUCGGAGGAAGGUGCGGGCCACGGUAGGUCAGUAUGCCCCGAAUCUCCCGGGCUACACGCGGGCUACAAUGGAUGGGACAAUGGGUCCCUACCCUGAAAAGGGUUGGUAAUCUCACAAACCCAUUCUUAGUUCGGAUCGAGGGCUGUAACUCGC
rnacentral:rRNA from 1 species